rnacentral:rRNA from 1 species
UACGUAGGGUGCGAGCGUUAAUCGGAAUUACUGGGCGUAAAGCGUGCGCAGGCGGUUUUGUAAGCCAGAUGUGAAAGCCCCGGGCUUAACCUGGGAAUGGCAUUUGGUACUGCAAGGCUUGAGUGCGGCAGAGGAGACUGGAAUUCCUGGUGUAGCAGUGAAAUGCGUAGAUAUCAGGAGGAAUACCGAUGGCGAAGGCAGGUCUCUGGGCUGACACUGACGCUCAUGCACGAAAGCGUGGGUAGCAAACAGG